AACUUACCAGGUCAAGACAUGGGCGUGAUUGACAGGCUAAUGACUUUUCUCGAUUCCAUGGAUGGUGGUGCAUGGUCGCACUUAGUUGGUGCAGUGAUUUGUCAGGUUUAUUCCGGUAACGAACGAGACCUCGGCCUUGUAAAUAGCUAUGCUGCUUACAGGGACAUUGGCGGCUACGCCAAGGAAGCUCGAGGCAAUUGCAGAUCUGGAAUGCCCUUAGAUGUCCUGGGUCGCACGCGUGCUACAAUGACGCCACGAACGAGCUUGCGUGAUGAAAGUUACGCAUAAUCAGCAGUCGGCGUCUUAAGGGAUAGUCUCUUGUAACUGUGGGACUCCAACUAGGAAUGUCUCGUAAGCACAAGUCAACAUCUUGUGUUGAUUACGUCCCUGCUCUUUGUACACACCGCCCGUCGCUCCUACCGAUCGAGUGUUUAGGUGAAUUUGAUGGACGUAAGGAAGUCAAAUAAACCUGAGCACUAGAGAAGAGAAGUCGAUCAUCC
rnacentral:rRNA from 1 species